GGCGAGGCUAUAACUGACGCUAAAGCUCGAAGGUGCGGGUAUCGAACAGGAUUAGAUACCCUGGUAGUCCGCACGGUAAACGAUGGAUGCCCGCUGUAUGCGAUAUACUGUAUGCGGCCAAGCGAAAGCGUUAAGCAUCCCACCUGGGGAGUACGCCGGCAACGGUGAAACUCAAAGGAAUUGACGGGGGCCCGCACAAGCGGAGGAACAUGUGGUUUAAUUCGAUGAUACGCGAGGAACCUUACCCGGGCUUGAACUGCAGGAGAACGAUUCAGAGAUGAUGAGGCCCUUCGGGCUCCUGUGGAGGUGCUGCAUGGUUGUCGUCAGCUCGUGCCGUGAGGUGUCGGCUUAAGUGCCAUAACGAGCGCAACCCCUGCGACUAGUUGCCAUCAGGUCAUGCUGGGCACUCUGGUUGGACUGCCACCGUAAGGUGUGAGGAAGGUGGGGAUGACGUCAAAUCAGCACGGCCCUUACGUCCGGGGCUACACACGUGUUACAAUGGGAGGUACAGAGAGAUGGUGUUCCGCAAGGCGCAUCUAAUCCUAAAAGCCUUCCUCAGUUCGGAUUGGGGUCUGCAACCCGACCCCAUGAAGCUGGAUU
rnacentral:rRNA from 1 species